rnacentral:rRNA from 1 species
UACGUAGGUGGCAAGCGUUGUCCGGAUUUAUUGGGUUUAAAGGGUGCGUAGGCGGUCCCAUAAGUCAGUGGUGAAAUACUCUAGCUUAACUAGAGGGGUGCCAUUGAUACUGCGGGACUUGAGUAGAGUUGAAGUGGGCGGAAUUGACGGUGUAGCGGUGAAAUGCUUAGAUAUCGUCAAGAACACCGAUAGUGAAGACAGCUCACUAAGCUCAAACUGACGCUGAGGCACGAAAGUGUGGGGAUCAAACAGG